CCUACGGGUGGUAGCAGUGAGGCAUAUUGGUCAAUGGGCGCGAGCCUGAACCAGCAACGCCGCGUGAUCGAUGAAGCCCUUCGGGGUGUAAAGAUCUGUCAGUGGGGACGAAACCUGACGGUACCCACAGAGGAAGCACCGGCGAACUCCGUGCCAGCAGCCGCGGUAAUACGGGGGGUGCAAGCGUUGUCCGGAAUCAGUGGGCGUAAAGAGUUCGUAGGUGGCACGUUAAGUCUGGUGUUAAAGGCGGAAGCUCAACUUCCGUAGGGCACUGGAUACUGGCGAGAUUGAAUGCGGUAGAGGUAAAGGGAAUUCCUGGUGUAGCGGUGAAAUGCGUAGAUAUCAGGAGGAACAUCGGUGGCGUAAGCGCUUUACUGGGCCGUAAUUGACACUGAGGAACGAAAGCCGGGGUAGCAAAUGGGAUUAGAUACCCUAGUAGUC
rnacentral:rRNA from 1 species